ACCGUCCCUGGCAGCUACACUGCCUGCCCACCACCUCUGCUGGUGGGGUGUAGGCUCCAAAGCUUCACAGACCCAGAACCUCUGUAGUCUUGAUAAACCCCAGACACAGGUUACUCUCUAGGGAACUCAUUUGGGCUGCAGCUGUAUUCAUGGAACACACAUCGUAUCAGCAGCUCAUGCCUCCCUGGAGCUGAACUGACAGAUCUGUAUGGUGGGGCUGUGGCUGUUCCUUAACAGGCGCUCGCCACAUAAGACCCGUUCUUCAGGUCUUUCAAGGAUUGAGAAGCCAACGGUCAGUCUGUGACGGGGAGGACAAAGCUGGAAGCUCAGAAGGUGGGAGCAGGAAGAGCUUUCUCUUGUCUGCUGCAGCAUAAGUGCAGUUAUGUGAUUCCCUCCUCUCAGUGACGGCUUUUCCUAGGUUUGCUGUAGUGGUAACCAACAUGGCUCCCGGCUCCGGGCUUCCAUCCAAAGCUAAGAAAGGGUAUGCUGUAAGCCGACACCUUUGGUCCUAAGCUCUGAAAAUGACCUCCAGAGCCACCUGUGGGGCCAACUUUAGAGCUGACCAGUCCCAAUGCUGUGUCUGGAGCUAGAGUAGGUGAGGGGCACAGCUCUCCCAGAGUUAAUACGAUCAUUCUCACCAAAGGACUGGAUGGACCCAGAACAGCCAGAACAAGGCCCCAGAAGUUCUGAGGGCAUGAGACCUCUUCCCAUGGAGCCAUCUCGCCAGCACAAAGAAUCUGACUGUUUACACGACUCCGUGCUGGCACUCGUGGGGGUCAAGGAGCUCCCCCAGCCUUUGGAGUUCAGAGCUGAGGUGGAACACAGUGUUGUUGGAAGAAGGCUAAAAGACUGAUGAUCUCUGGCUUUGUAAUCCUAACCGUACUUGGGGCUAGAAGCUAAUGGUUUCUGUAAUCUUAACACUCUCUUGCUUAUUCUGUGGCUGAAAACCACCCGCUUUUUUUCUCUUCAUAUUUGUGCUUUAAUAAGCGCUGGGGGAAACUUUGUGCUUAAAUGAGUGCAGAAACUCAACUUGUUAUUACUAAUCCUAUGCUUUAAUAAGCACUGAGAAAUGAGCUCUUCAUUACUGUCCUGUGCUUAAAUAAGUGCUGAAAACUUAACUUGUUGACUCUUUUAUUAUUUGUGCUUAAAUAACCAGUAAUUUCUGGCAAAUUAGCAUAUGUCGUUUAGCCACGGGGAAUUAAGUAAAAGGGUUUAUUGCUAGAGCCCCUUUCUCUGGCGAGUCAGUUCUGGCCAGGUGAGAGGCUUGGAGCUUGUUAGCGCUUUUCUGAACCAGAGAGAAAAAAAAAAAAAAAAAAAAAAAA
rnacentral:sRNA from 1 species